UGGGUUAUUUUUGACCCAUAAUGGGUAAAUAUUGGACAGAACACGUGCUGGGUUAAAAAUGUACCCAUGCUGGGUUAAAAAUGACCCAAUGUUGGGUUGUUGUUAUGCAACCAUGGGGUAUAAUAACCCAGCAGUUGGGUUAAAAUAACCCAGCAUUGGGUCAUUUUUUAACCCAGCAUGUGUUCUGUCCAAUAUUUACCCAGCAUGGGUCAAAAAUAACCCAGCCAUUUUUAGAGUGUAAGAAUCAUAAAUUAGCAUUUGUCUUACUCUUUUAUUUUACUUUUUUUUUUUGUACAAAAAAAAUGUAAUCAUUAUUGUGCUUUGUUUGCAGAAGUCAUGUACCACACAUUGUCAAACCUGAAGAAGUGUAUCUUCCUGCAAUCUGGGCUCCAGACCUGGAGAUUGAAGUUCCUAAAGGUUGAUGUUUAUCAAGCUUGUGACCUUAUUGCAUGGUGUUAUUUUUUACAUUUAUAUAUCUAAUACACAUUUGCUAAUACAGAUAAAUUUAAUAUUUUGUGGGUUAUUUUUUUAUUUUAUUUAACCAGUUGUUGUAUAUUGAAAUCUGUUAUUACAUUUUAUGCACUCCAACUGUAAAUGUUUUGUUUUAAUUGCAUCUUUAUUGUUUUAAACAAUUUAAUUAAUGUGGGGUUUUGUUAGCUUUUAUGUUAUUCUUGUAUUUUUUGGCUAUUUAUUUGUUUUUGUUUUUAUUAUCCUUCUGUUAAUUUGCCAGAUUUUGACCUUCUAUUUGUUUUUCCUGUAAUCUCACUUCAAUUAUUUCUGUUUUUCAAUGAUACAUUUUUGUCACAGUCCCAAUUUGUUCCUGCUUGUUUCUCAAUGUUUCCCCAUACAUCAUCCAUUUGGACUUCAUUUCCCAUAAUCCUUUUCAUUCUCUCACCUGAACUGUGUUUGUUAUUAUCCUCACCUGACAGUCAUCCCCCUCAUCACUCCAUUGUCUAAAUACCCUGCUUUUCCCUUUGUCUAGGUCAGUUCUUGUUUAUAGUGAUGUGUUGUGUGUUUUGCUGUUUACCAGUUUCCAUGUUCCUUGUUUUAUAUUAAUUAAAGAUUAUCAUUUUGGAUUCAU